rnacentral:tRNA from 1 species
GGAGGGAACAGCUCAGCGGCAGAGCACAUGCUUGGCAUGCGUGAGGUCCGGGGUUUAACACUCAGUGCCUCCG